rnacentral:rRNA from 1 species
UACGGGGGGAGCAAGCGUUGUUCGGAUUUACUGGGCGUAAAGGGCGCGUAGGCGGCCCGGUAAGUCCGCUGUGAAAGUCGGGGGCUCAACCCUCGGAUGCCGGUGGAUACUGUCGGGCUCGAGUACGGAAGAGGCGAGUGGAAUUCCUGGUGUAGCGGUGAAAUGCGCAGAUAUCAGGAGGAACACCAAUUGCGAAGGCAGCUCGCUGGGACGUUACUGACGCUGAGACGCGAAAGCGUGGGGAGCAAACAGG